rnacentral:rRNA from 1 species
UACGAAGGGGGCUAGCGUUGCUCGGAAUCACUGGGCGUAAAGCGCACGUAGGCGGACUCUUAAGUCGGUGGUGAAAUCCUGGAGCUCAACUCCAGAACUGCCUCCGAUACUGGGAGUCUCCGAGUCCGGGAGAGGUGAGUGGAACUGCGAGUGUAGAGGUGAAAUUCGUAGAUAUUCGCAAGAACACCAGUGGCGAAGGCGGCUAACUGGUCCGGUACUGACGCUGAGGUGGCG